rnacentral:rRNA from 1 species
AACGAACGCUGGCGGCGUGCCUAACACAUGCAAGUCGUGCGAGAAAGUCCCCUUCGGGGGGCGAGUAAAGCGGCGAAAGGGUGAGUAACACGUGGGUAAUCUGCCCCUGGGAUUGGGAUAACCCGCCGAAAGGAGGGUUAAUACCGGAUAAGACCACGCGGACGCAGGUCCGAGCGGUCAAAGGUGGCCUCUGCAUGCAAGCUAUCGCCUGGGGAUGAGCCCGCGGCCUAUUAGCUAGUUGGUGGGGUAACGGCCCACCAAGGCGAUGAUGGGUAGCAGGCCUGAGAGGGUGAACGGCCACACUGGAAUUGAGAUACGGUCCAGACUCCUACGGGAGGCAGCAGUGGGGAAUUUUGCGCAAUGGGGGAAACCCUGACGCAGCAAUGCCGCGUGGGUGAAGAAGGCCUUCGGGUUGUAAAGCCCUUUCGGAUAGAAAGAAAACUCUUACUCUAACAUAGUGAGAGAAUGACGGUACUAUCAUAAGAAGCACCGGCUAACUAC